rnacentral:lncRNA from 1 species
UUUUUUCCUUACAAUAAUUUUAUUCCAAUUAUUUCCAGGACAUGGUCUAGGACCAUGAUGACAGUUUGGAAGGUGAUUUGAACAUGUUUGAUUUCUCCCAAGUGAAGUAAAUUUUACAAUAUUGGCAGGCUUCAAGAAAAGAUUUUUACCCUUAUACCUUACUCAGAUCUUCUCUGUGACCUAUGAAGAAUAUUGUUGGCACUCAAAGACUACUGAUCUGUACACAAUUAGCCUGUGGCCUCAUUAAUUUCUUAAAUCGCUUGGGAUUUCUAUCAUUUGGCUGUGGGAAGGAG